rnacentral:rRNA from 1 species
UAUGUGAUCGUCUCUCGCAUAUCAAUAAGCGGAGGAAAAGAAACUAACAAGGAUUCCCCUAGUAACGGCGAGUGAAGCGGGAAGAGCUCAAAUUUGAAAUCUUAAAGGGUUUCCCUUUACGAAUUGUAGUUUAAAGAAGUGUUUUCUGUUGAGGUUUUGGUAAAAGUUCUUUGGAAUAGGACAUCAUAGAGGGUGGGAAUCCCGUAUUUGACCUUUACUUUCAACUUUGUGAUACACUUUCAAAGAGUCGGAUUGUUUGGGAAUGCAGUCCAAAAUGGGUGGUAAAUUUCAUCUAAAGCUAAAUAUUGGCGAGAGACCGAUAGCGAACAAGUACCGUGAGGGAAAGAUGAAAAGAACUUUGAAAAGAGAGUUAAACAGUACGUGAAAUUGUCAAAAGGGAAGCGUUUGACACCAGUGUUGUUUUUCUGAAAAUCAAUUAAAGAACUGUUUAUGCUAAGCUGUUUAGACUUUAUCAGCUAUCUGUUUAGUUUUGAGCUUUUCUUUAAUGCACUCUUCAGUUAACAAGUCAACAUCAAUUUCUUUUGCUGUAAAAAAGCUUGAGGAAGGUGGCUUGAGAUUCGUCUUAAGUGUUUAUAGCCUCUUGCCUAUGCAGUCAGAGAGAUUGAGGUCUGCAGCGUAGAUCCUUCGGGGCUAAAUGCAUUUGUGCUAAGUUAUAGCAUUUUAUAGACAAACUUGUUGACUAUGAUUUGUCUUGUAGCUUACUCGCUUAUGUUAUUUUACCUACGCUUAGGAUGUUGAUCUACAGAGCGAGAGU